rnacentral:tRNA from 1 species
GCGGGUGUGGCGAAGUGGGUAACGCAUCGGAUUGUGGUUCCGACACCCGUGGGGUCGAUUCCCAUCAUCCGCCCCA